rnacentral:rRNA from 1 species
GAUGAACGCUGGCGGCGUGCCUAAUACAUGCAAGUCGAGCGAACGGACGAGAAGCUUGCUUCUCUGAUGUUAGCGGCGGACGGGAGAGUAACUUGUGGACAACCUACCUAUAAGACUGGGAUAACUUCGGGAAACCGGAGCUAAUACCGGAUAAUAUUUUGAACCGCAUGGUUCAAAAGUGAAAGACGGUCUUGCUGUCACUUAUAGAUGGAUCCGCGCUGCAUUGGCUAGUUGGUAAGGUAACGGCUUACCAAGGCAACGAUGCAUAGCCGCCCUAAGAGGGAGAUCGGCCACCCGGGAACUGAGACACGGCCGCGACUCCGAGGGGAGGAAGCAGUAGGGAAUCUUACGCAAUGGGGGAGUGGCUGACGGAGCACCGCGGCGGGAGUGAUGAAGGUGUCCGGACGGUAAAACUAUGUAAGCCGGGGAGAACAUAUGUGUAAGUAACUGGGCAGAUAUUGACGGUACCUGCUCAAGAAGCCACGGCUAACUACGUG